AGCGAUUCUCUUGCUGCAGCCUCCUGAGUAGUGGGGAUUACAGGGGCCAUGCUGAUCUUCUCUGUAUCGUUCCAAUUUUAGUUCAUGUGCUGCGGAAGUGAGCAAAACAACUUUUUACUUUUAGGGGAGAGGAUUUGUCCACCUUUUUCGGCUGCUCUAACUUGAAGUAUCAUCUCUGCUUUUCUGCUAUUUUUGUACACUUGGAAACAAUGUGGGACCCUCAUUUAAAAGUGCAAGCAACCUUAUAAAAGAGACCCCAGAAAGAUUCCUCACCCCCUUUAUCAUGUGAAGACCCAGAAAAAGACAGCCAUCUAUGAUCCAGGAAGCAGACCCUCACCAGACUCCAAAUCUACCAGUGCCUUGACUUUGUACUUCCAGCCUCUAGGACCAUGAGUAACUAAUCUCUGCCUAUGGCAUUUUGUUAUAGCAGCUUGAACAGACUAAAACAAUCACUUACGUAUAAGGAAAAUUAACUUUUGGCAAGUUAUUUUUAUGGCAGUUAACCCUCACUCAAGGAUAUUCAGCAAGUAAUUGUAGAAGGAGACAGGAACCCACCUCUGUCUGCAACAGUUCUGAAAAAAAUCACUUAAACACCACAGUUCAACAGGAGGAUGCAUCCUGAAAGAGAAAUGGGCUUCAUUUUAGGUAGAUGAUGACUUUUCAUACUGAAGAUGCUCCUUCCUUUCCAGAGGACCAAGAACUUCGCUUCAUUCUUGGCAGCGUGCAUUGCUCAUGGCAGCAUGAAAAAAACAGAGUCCUGAGUAUGAAGUAGAAAAAAUAGUGGACUAGAAGUAAUGGCUCACUUGGUAAGCUGUGGGGCUUUUGGCAAAUUCUUUAACCUCUCUGGGGCUCUGUUACAACAUCUGUAAGGUAAGGUGUUUGGACUAGGUGAUCUUUUUUAUUCAGCAACGUAAACUGUGCUGCGUGCCAGGCAGUAGGAUCUUGAGUUGAGUCACACAUAGUCCCGGUUCACAUUCUGGCUGAUAAGAGCUGGAAGAGGAGCUAAUUAAAAAUACCAGCAGACACACAGGAGGGGAUAAUUCAUUCUGUUUGCUAGGGCUUGGGAGCUGAUAUUUCAAAAGUAGAAAUUCCCCAGAAAUUUAUUAAUUUUGUCAUCAUUCAUUCAUUUAUUCAACAAAUGUUGACACUAUGGCAACUGUAUACCAGGGUGCCUACUUUCUAUGAAGAAUGGGGAAAUAGUCAUGAAGAAAGCAGACAAAAUUUCUUUCAGUUUAGUCUAAGCUGAAGGUGCUAGGGGAGGUUGGGAAAAGGUACUAUUAGUAUUUAGCAUUGAAUAUUUAAUAUUGUUUCAUUUCACUCUCCCAGUAUAUCCACAAAGAAGGCAGUACCCUCACUUUACAGCGAGAAACCUGAGGCCUAGAGGAGUGAAAUCAUUCACUGAGCUCAUACUAAUAAGUCAUGAGGACUCAAGCCCACCGCUGCCUGUGUUCAGAGCUCCAGCAUUUACCCGUAUUGCAAUUUUAUGGCAGAAGUGGCUUCCUCGGCCGCUGGGUGAGUGAACACUUGGUUCGCCUUCCCAACACUUCCUCUUUGAGUAACAGUGCACCUGUUUUCCUCUGGAGAGCUAAGUCCUUCCACUCUCAAUUCAGUCCUAUAAGGAGGAGCUCUGGUCCCUCCUACAAGUGUCAGAGGCGAGGUCAUGCUGUGGGCUUAAUGUAUCAGACCACGUCCUUCUAGGCACAGUGAUUGGCCCAACCAGUGAUGGGCACAUGACCAGGCUACACCAAUUGGCAUCAAUGCCUGGACUUUUGCUGGAAAUAUUGAAAAAGAGUCUUGUUUUUUUUCCCCUGGGAUUUAAACUGUAGACUGUAAGCCUAGAGUAGGUGAUGUUCUCCAGAAGGGGUGAGGGAGCCUGCCUGAAAAAUGAAGCUUAUAGAGAAGCACAUUAGUUCAUUCUCACAUUGCUAUAAAUAAAUACCUAAACCUGGAUAAUUUAUAAGAAAAGAGGUUUAAUUGG